rnacentral:misc_RNA from 1 species
UACGUAGGUGGCAAACGUUAUUCGGAAUCAUUGGGCUUAAAGGGUGCGUAGGCGGCCGCAUAAGUCGGGUGUGAAAUCCCUCGGCUCAACCGAGGAAUUGCGCCCGAUACUGUGUGGCUCGAGGGAGACAGAGGCGAGCGGAACUGAUGGUGGAGCGGUGAAAUGCGUUGAUAUCAUCAGAAACACCGGUGGCGAAGGCGGCUCGCUGGGUCUCUUCUGACGCUCAGGCACGAAAGCUAGGGUAGCGAACAGG